rnacentral:lncRNA from 1 species
UUAGUAGAACAAUAUAGAGACAGAAAGAGACUUACAUAUGAUAUUCAUCAACUUAGAGAUACAUGGAAGGAAACACACUAGAUCAUGACAGAUAGAUCUCAGAUACAUACAAUAACAUACUCAGAUACAUGGUAGAAAACAAUUCAUAUAUGUUUAAUAAAAAAUACAUGUACAUUUAAUAAAUAAAUCAGAUACAUGGGAUAGCGUGAC